rnacentral:rRNA from 1 species
AGCAGCCGCGGUAAUUCCAGCUCCAAUAGCGUAUAUUAAAGUUGUUGCAGUUAAAAAGCUCGUAGUUGAAUUUUGGGUUUGGCCGAUUGGUCCGUUCUUGUAACGAGUACUGGUCGGUUGGGCCUCACCGCUUGGUGAUGCGUAAUGCCCUUUAUUGGGUGUUGCGAGUAGCCAAGACCUUUACCUUGAAAAAUUAGAGUGUUUAAAGCAGGCAUAUGCCGGAAUACAUUAGCAUGGAAUAAUAGAAUAGGACAACGAUUCUAUUUUGUUGGUUUCUAGGACCGUUGUAAUGAUUAAUAGGGAUAGUUGGGGGCAUUAGUAUUCAAUUGUCAGAGGUGAAAUUCUUGGAUUUAUUGAAGACCAGCUACUGCGAAAGCAUUUGCCAAGGAUGUUUUCAUUAAUCAAGAACGAAAUUAGGGGAUCGAAGACGAUCAGAUACCGUCGUAGUCUUAACCAUAAACUAUGCCGACUAGGGAUCGGGCGAAGUUGUUUCAAUGACUCGCUCGGCACCUUAUGGGAA